UAGGUGGGACUCUGGGAUUCUGAGAGGGUCUGGGAGCUUAGGCUGGCGGGAGGGGAGUUCUUUUCUUUCCCCCCCUUCCUUCCUGCAGACAGCGAGCCCCUUUGAGGCCGACACGAACGUGACCAGACACGUGCAGUAAGGGCUGCUCGUGUUGAAUUCCGAGGACGGCCCGGCAGGUGUUGGACACGCUGGGCCUCACCUCCCCAAACUCCGGGUGCCUCAGCGACACCGUGCACGUGCCUUCGUGCAGACAGCCGGACCGGACAUUCCCUCGCCCAGCUCCAGGAGUCCUCAGAAGCGAGGGGUUUCCUGCCUCCUCUCCUCCUGCCCACGUGGUUUUCUCUGAGUCGCUGGGAGCAAAGUUUGCAGCUCGGUGGACGGACGAGCUCAUAUAAAGCAAAGUUCUUGCAUAAAAGGCCUCGAAGAGGCGUGGCCACCUGUCACCUCCCCUCCCCGGUCAUCCAGAGCCGGGGCUGCUGUUAGCAAAGAAGUCCCACACGUGGGAAUAGAGGGACAAGCAGGUCAAUGGAACAGAAUUAGAGACCCUCCCCCCGCCCCCCCCCCCCAAGACCUGGACGUUUAGCGACAAUUGGCGACAUCUCAGCCUCUGACAGAAAGAUGGAGUUUUUAAGAUGUGGUGUUCAGACAACCAGAUGGGCGUUUGGAGAAACACGAAAUUAUACAUAGGUCUAAAACUGUAGUGGUGAUGGAUUGAAACAUUUUGUGAAUAUUUUGAAAACUCGGGAACUGCAUACGCUUAAAGGGUGAAUGUCGUGGUAUGUGAAUUAUAUCUCAGUAAAAAUACUUUUUAAAAUGGA